rnacentral:rRNA from 1 species
GAUGAACGCUGGCGGCGUGCUUAACACAUGCAAGUCGAACGGAAAGGCCAGUGCUUGCACUGGUACUCGAGUGGCGAACGGGUGAGUAACACGUGGGUGAUCUGCCCUGCACUUCGGGAUAAGCCUGGGAGACUGGGUCUAAUACCGGAUAGGACCACAUUUUGGAUGGUGUGGUGGAAAGUUUUUCGGUGUGGGAUGAGCUCGCGGCCUAUCAGCUUGUUGGUGGGGUAAUGGCCUACCAAGGCGUCGACGGGUAGCCGGCCUGAGAGGGUGUACGGCCACAUUGGGACUGAGAUACGGCCCAGACUCCUACGGGAGGCAGCAGUGGGGAAUAUUGCACAAUGGGCGCAAGCCUGAUGCAGCGACGCCGCGUGGGGGAUGACGGCCUUCGGGUUGUAAACUCCUUUCGCUAGGGACGAAGCGUAUUUGUGACGGUACCUGGAGAAGAAGCACCGGCUAACUACGUGCCAGCAGCCGCCGCAG